rnacentral:rRNA from 1 species
GUGCUGNGAGGUGUUGGGGUAAGUCCCAUAACGAGCGCAACCCCUAUCCUUAGUUGCCAGCACAUCAUGGUGGGGUCUCUAAAUAGACUGCCUGCGCAAGCAGUGAGGAAGGAGGGUGAUGAGGUCAGGUCAUCAUGGCCCUUACGCCCAGGUCUACACGCGCGCUACAGUGGCGGGCACANAGGGGAGAUACCUGGGUAACGCAAGCAAAUCCUUUAAACACGUUCCCAUUUCGGAUGGGAUUUUGCAAUUGGCCUCCUGAAGGUGGGAAU